CGAGGACGCGGGGUGUCUGGACUCCGCCAUGAUGUAGACUUGAGUUUUCCUGGGAAAUCCUCAUGACAAACUGCUUCUAGAAAGUCCAAGGAGGAACUCUAAUCCCUGGAAGCUGGAAAUGGACACUGCAUGACCAAACCAGAGCUCAUCUUUGAGUGGGAGCUUCAAGUCGAACCAUGGACUGCAGUAGAAGCCUCAAUUGGAUGUGUGCCCAGUCAGUGAGUGGGAUCAUCUUGAUCAAGAGGCACUAAUGCCAUCUCUGUUUCUCAGUGACAUGCGGCUGCCUCGAGAACCAUAGUGAGGACACUGGGUGUCCUGGACCGUGGAAAUGGUGUUGGUGUCAUUUGAGGACGUAGCAGUGGACUUCACCUGGGAGGAGUGGCAGGACCUGGACGCUGCUCAGAGGGCCCUGUACAGGGAUGUGAU